AAGUUGGGUGGAGAGAGUGAGUCACUGGCUCGAACCUUCCAAUCUGCGGGGAGGCCCUGGGUCCUGGAACUGGGAGACGGUUCUGAAAGGCCAGGAUCAGAUGGCCCCCACCUAACUCUGCGACUUCAGACCACUUCCUGAAUUUAUCUGGGUCUCAGUUUGUCCUGCGAAAUAGGAGCAGUCCCAGACCAUGUAUCUCCUGUGUUUCAAGCACCGACCCAGGCCUGGGGCUGCAGCAGAUCAUUAAGGGUUGUGCAGCCAGAGCAAGACGUGCAGGGACACCGAGCUCCACACCUACAAAGGUGUCUGAAUGGAUAAAGGUCUGGAGUGAGAAAGUGCAUGACUUCCACAAAGAGAAAGAAAAAUGUUCCUGUACACGCACCCGGAGGCUUUUGCAGGAGGCGGCUGUUGGAGAACCGGGAAAACAAGCCAAGAAACAAGAGAGAGGAAAAAGACCACGCCUUGCCUGGCAGAUUCCUAAUGGCCCAGGAGACCUGAGGCUUUACAGAGGGAGUCUGGUGGGGGCUGCCUUGGGUGGGAGGGAAGGGCAGGCCGAAGGACAGCCACUUGCUGGCUGGUGACCUUGGGCGGGAUGCUGCCUGCUUUCCUCUGGUGGGAAUGGGGAGGAGGGGGGCAGGGGCAGGGCUGGCCGGCUGAGGUCACAGGAAGGCCCCUUCGAGCCUGAAACGCGAUCUCGGGAUGUGGGGCCUGCCAACCUGCAGCGACCCUGGGCCAGCAGAGAUGAAAGGCUGCCUGUCCCCAGCUUCCGGACCCCUGAGGCCCCAAUGCCUCAAACUUGAAGGGCAGUAAAGCUGCUACAGCUGGCUGGAGCCGGUUGUUGUGCUCCCCACCCCACCUGAUGUCAUCCAGCCUUCCCUUCCCUGUUUUGCAGAGGACACUCAGGCCCAGAAAGGGCCGGUGACCUGCCCAAGGUCACACAGCAAAUUGGAAGCGGAGCCAGGACUCAUCACGAAGUCCUUGGACUCCAAGUCCAGGCCUCAUUCCCUUUCCCAGAAACUUGGCUGCCUGGGGGUUUACCCUGGGGAGUUGGAGAGACCCAGGCGUAGGGAGGACAGUUAGGAGCUGUGUCUGUUUGAAAGCUUAAUGUUGACUAAAGUGCCUUUUUUUUUUUUUUUUUUUUAAGACAAAAAGAACCGUUCCAGUCCCUGACAUGAGCCUGGGCUUGCUCUGCUGGCAGGGGAAGGAAUGCAGUUCUGGCCGCCACAGCUGCUGGUGGCCAGCUGCGGCUUCAGCUCUUGCUGCUCCCACCCCAGCGGGCAAAGGGACAAAGGCCUCUUCUCAGGCCUGUCCCCUCCAGCCCCUUGGAUCAGUGGGGGCAGAGAAUCUACCAGGAGGUGGGGUCACUGACCAGCCAAUGACUUAGCCGUUCCUCUCUGGAUCUCAGUGCCCGUUCUGGAAAAUGGGGGCAGAGCAUUUGCCUGACUGACUUCUCAGCGUUGUUUUCCAAAGAGGUGAGGUUACAGAAAUGCAUUCUUCUCAGCUGAGGGGCUGCCUACUCAGAGACCCCUCUGCCGCCAACGCCCCCCCCCCCCACCUCAUGCCUCACCUGGCCAGCCCCUGCUCACUCCGCUCAGCUCAGCAGAACCAUCCCCUGCUCUGGGGAGCCUCCCCCCACCUCCGGCCUGUGCUGCUUCUGGGUAUUCAUGGUAUUAAUCACUGCGGUAAUUAAAUAAUUAAUUGUGUAAUUGGAUCUGUCUCCCCCACUAAAUGUGAACCCUGUAAUAAUAAUAGCUGACACUGACUGAACGCUUCCCCCGUGCCAGAGACUACAGGUAUUACCUAACCCACUUCAUCCCUUUGGCAGGUACCGUUACGUUAGUUCCCCAUCUUACAGACGAGGAAACUGAGACAAGGAGAGGUUCCGUACGUCACCUGAGGUCACAGCAAGUUGGAGGCUGAGCCGGGACUUAGCACAAAGAAGUUGCAGAACCAGGAUUCAAACCCAGACCCCAAGCUAUAACCAUUACCCCACUAAUAAGUCAGCUUGUUUCCUGCCUAUUCCCAGCUCCCAAAACAUCUGGUAUACAGUAAGCGCUCCAUGUACAAACAGUAGGUGUCUGAAUACAUAAACAGGUAACGAGUACACAGGAGUAUUUGGAGGAGAAUAGAGCACCUUCCAGGAGUGCGUUUUUCGGGACCGUAUGUGGAGCUGAGCCAUGGUGAGGGGAGCGAGUGCCUGGUAGACUGCAGUCGUCCCCAUUAUCUGCCUUUUCGCUUUCUGCAGUU